AGAGUUUGAUCCUGGCUCAGGAUGAACGCUGGCGGCGUGCUUAACACAUGCAAGUCGAACGAUGAAGCCAGCUUGCUGGUGGAUUAGUGGCGAACGGGUGAGUAACACGUGAGUAACCUGCCCUUGACUCUGGGAUAAGCCUGGGAAACUGGGUCUAAUACCGGAUAUGACCUUCCAUCGCAUGGUGGUUGGUGGAAAGCUUUUGUGGUUUUGGAUGGACUCGCGGCCUAUCAGCUUGUUGGUGGGGUAAUGGCCUACCAAGGCGACGACGGGUAGCCGGCCUGAGAGGGUGACCGGCCACACUGGGACUGAGACACGGCCCAGACUCCUACGGGAGGCAGCAGUGGGGAAUAUUGCACAAUGGGCGCAAGCCUGAUGCAGCGACGCCGCGUGAGGGAUGACGGCCUUCGGGUUGUAAACCUCUUUCAGUAGGGAAGAAGCGUAAGUGACGGUACCUGCAGAAGAAGCGCCGGCUAACUACGUGCCAGCAGCCGCGGUAAUACGUAGGGCGCAAGCGUUAUCCGGAAUUAUUGGGCGUAAAGAGCUCGUAGGCGGUUUGUCGCGUCUGCCGUGAAAGUCCGGGGCUCAACUCCGGAUCUGCGGUGGGUACGGGCAGACUAGAGUGAUGUAGGGGAGACUGGAAUUCCUGGUGUAGCGGUGAA
rnacentral:rRNA from 1 species